AGGUGUGAGCCUACAUUCGGAAGUGCUGGGAUCACAGGUGUGAGCCUACACCACACCUGGCCUACAUUUUAAUUUUUUCAUAAAGUUGAGAGAAGCAAAUCCUAAGCAUAGAGUACAGGUUGAGCAUCCCUAAUCAAAAAAUCGAAAAUCGGAAAUGCUCCAAAAUUGGAAUGCUCAAAGGAAAUCCUUAUUAGGGCAUUUCUGAUUUUUGGAUUAGGGAUGCUGAACUGAUAAGUAUAAUGCAAGUAUUCUAAAGUCUGGACAAUGCUAAAAACUGCUGGUUCCAAGCAUUUCAGAUAAGGAUUGCUCAAUUUGCCCUUUGAGUAUUUAAUAUAUGCUGAUUGUUUAAACUGAUCAGGAUUUAAUUACAUAAAUGAUCUUUGGCUUAGUGCCUUUCUUAAAAAUUUCAAUUUUAAAAAGCAUUAUGAAACACCCCUGUGGUUUUUCAGAAAAAAUUGAGUGAAAAAGAAAUUUCAUCUUGUUCUAUCCCUUUUAAUCUAAAAACAAAUCUUUUUGAAAGAAUGUGCUACUAUAUUUCAAGCCAGUUGUUUUGGAGUAGAACAUUGCUAAAAAAACAGGUACUAAGGAGGGUAAUUUAAACAAAGUAGAUUAAUGACACAAGGAUUGAUGAACUCAUAAAUCCUAAUGAAUGGAAUGCUAGAAGACAUGUAUUAACAGUAGAAACUUUGAGGUACAUAGCUGUUACCAAAAUAUAUCCUUGCUUGUUGGAAUCUGACGUGAAGAUCAAAGGUGAUGGCAUCCCACAGAUGACAGAUAAUGGGCAAAAUAUAUUCUUGGUGUGGAGCAGUGCUGCCGAAUUAACUUCCCUGUGUACAUCCCAGAAUCAUUUUGGAUCUGCUAAGGUUUUUAUUAGAAUGAUUUAAUAGGCUUUUGCAGGAUUAACUUCACAGUAGUUACCAGAAAAGGCUAUGCUACAAGAAUGAAAAUUGAAGAACAAAGACCGAAAUGAUAUGAUUCUAAAUGAAAAAAAUAAAGAAGUGGAAUAGUUUCUCCAAAGGCAUAGGAGGCAAAGCAUUGUUUCAGAAGUGGACUGGCACCUCAGCUGAGAUACUCAAGACUGGCAACAUGGGUCUUCAUUCUUUGUUAUCACUGAGGUUGUGUCCUGAGAGAUUCCCUAGCUCUAAUGACAGAUUUUGGGGGGCGGGUAAUGAGGCUAUGAGAAGAUUGAGGAUCUAGGUGCUUGCCUCUGAUUCUACAGCAUAAAGGUGUGUCGCUCUUAUCUCUAGGACACCAAUAUUUUUAAUGUUGCAUAUCAUGUAUCUCCAGUACGAGAAGAAAGUUUAUCAGAAUUUAGUUAAUGUUGGAAACUUUGUAAUACAAACAAUGUAAACACUACAUUGACAAAAAUAUUAAUAAUUAUGCAUAUAGUUUGCUUACUAUAGAAAUUCUUGUUUUUGAUGUUGGAUACAACCCAAAGGAGUUUUUAUGUAUAGAGAUGGUGAAUAAAUUGGGAAAAG
rnacentral:lncRNA from 1 species